AGAACGAACGCUGGCGGCAUGCCUAACACAUGCAAGUCGAACGCUUGCCCGGUUUCGGCCGGGCAGGAGUGGCGCACGGGUGAGUAGCGCGUGGGAACCUGCCCUGUUGUGGGGGAUAACCGAGGGAAACUUCGGCUAAUACCGCAUGCGCCCGGAGCAAUCCGGGGAAAGAUUUAUCGCAGCAGGAGGGGCCCGCGUCGGGAUUAGGUAGUUGGUGGGGUAACGGCCCACCAAGCCUGUGAUCCGUAGCUGGUCUGAGAGGAUGAUCAGCCACACUGGGACUGAGACACGGCCCAGACUCCUACGGGAGGCAGCAGUGGGGAAUAUUGGACAAUGGGGGCAACCCUGAUCCAGCAAUGCCGCGUGAGUGAUGAAGGCCUUAGGGUUGUAAAGCUCUUUCGCCGCGACGAUGAUGACGGUAGCGGGAGAGAAGCCCGGCUAACUUCGUGCCAGCAGCCGC
rnacentral:rRNA from 1 species